CACACACAUACACAUACACAUCAACUCUCCCCUGCCCCCCCUUUCCGAAUUAAAAGUCGCCUUUUGUGCGGAUCUGGUUUCCCAGGCCUGUGCGCCCACAAGGGUCCUUCGGGUUCAAAACCCUGACUCGGGCCUGCGACAACACUGUAAAAAAAAAAAAAACAGCCCUCUUACAGAGAAGAGCAGUGAGAUAUCGGCUCAGUGCGAGCACGAAGCCUGAACAAACAGACCGCUGGAGGGGAAAUGGGGCUUGUACAAACUCAGUGACAUUACACAGUGGCCUUGAGAUUAUCUCCAGUGAAAAUGAGAUGCUAAACGAGAGCCACGGUUCGAGAAAAAGACGAGCUGAAGAACCUCUGCUGAGUCAUAGUGCUUCUGUAAUUUACUAAGGUCACGCGGCGUCAAACGAGCAGGAUUCCGACUCCGAAAAGACACUCUGACCUUGACGUUCUCCUGUUUCUCGUCUUCUAAAACCAGACCGAGGCUCACAAUAUCUUCCUAGCGCACCAGUUCUGAGCUUUAGCGUCUCAUAUAACAAUGCCCGGCUUUGGUCUCUUCUCGGAGGACGAGAGAUCAUUUUGUCGGGGAGCGACCUCAGAGGCGGCAUUCCGCCCACGUUUAUGCCGCUGUUUCGGCUUCGCGUCUCUCUGGGUUACGAAUCCAAGUCGUUUAAUGAACGGUGUUUUCUCUCAACACGAAUCCACACACAUCGGCGUACGGAAGGACGACUCGGAGAACUCGGGAGACACGGGACAGAUUUGGAUUCCCUUAAAAUAGGACGCUAAACCUGUGGCGUGUUCUUCCGAAAACAACAAGUCGAUGACACCAAGACGUCGAUCUAGGGAAAAAUCAAGUCCCGAGAAAGUUAUACACGAUGCCUGACGGUUAUAACGUUAUUUGUCGUGAUUUAUAAUCAGACCAGACAAUAAUUCCCAGCUAGGUCCUGGGUUAGCCUUACAUAUUUUCAUUUCUCAGACACGUCGGUUAAUUAGCUGUUUUGUUGGACCAGGAAUGUUAGGAGAACGGAUACUCCAGAACCGGGUUUAGGAACCACUGCGUCAGUUUUGACUUUAAAUGUAGGUUUGUGUUUUAGAAGGUUCACUCAUUGGUUUUCAGUAAGCGCUUUAUCCUGGUCAUUGUCCUGGAUCCAGAGUCUAUCCCAGGAACUCCGGCGAGGUGGGAAUAAAUCAUGGAUGGGACGUUCUCUGGAAGAUAAAAGUCUGGAUUUGGUAGAGUUAUGGAUUCACUGGAGAACAAACAGAAACAACAUUGUUACAUACAUCAGUCUUGGGGGGGAAAACAACGGUGUUCCUUCGAUACACAGAGGUGGGAAAUAAUCAUUACACUGCGACUAUACUUAAGUCCGGUUUUUCCGAACGUAUCUCACCUUCUACGUUUCAGUAGAAAACAAAAAUCAUACAUUAAUAUCUUUCAAACACGACAUCCCUGCAUGUCUCUAUAAUCAUAUAUGUGUAAAGAUUUAAGCUGACGUUUUUUGAUUGGAAAGCAGCAAUCAUGUGACCGAGAGAAUGAGAACUAACACCCGACACGGUAAUCUAUCUGCUUCUGCGUACGCUUUGUAUAGAGUUAAUAUUAUCCUAGCUAACAUUUGAGAGGUUGUAGUUGGUUCGUUAGCUUUAGAUACCGUCUUCCCACGUUCCUCGGUUCUGAAACGAAUCAGACUGAAGGCAAGCGUCGUCUCCUUCUGGGAUUCUUCCUGCUUCCGAUUUCCCUUCCUUUGAAGACUUGAGGAAAAUAUAAGCGUUUUCUACUUUGACUGAAGACUCUGAUGCUGUAUUUCAGCUUUUAGCUGAGGAUUUGUUUACGUAAGUCGCACUUUUACUUGAGCAAAGAAUUUGGAGACUUGUAUCAACACGAGCCGCGAAUAUCGGAUCGCUGGUUUAUAUAAAGUCUGAGACACGUGAUAGCGGCGGUGGUGUUAGCUUUAGCAGAAGGAGACGUUAGACUUGGCUCGCAGCCUGCCAAAGCGCAAACAAGUUCGGACGGUUGCUGAUUCACGGUGCUAACUCAGCGUCUGCAAUUCAUCGAGGUUAGAACUACGCGGCGUUAAAUGAGCAGGACCGGGUAAUUAAUUAUAAUUGAUUAUAAUUGAAAUCUCGACACUCCCCGGUUUGUUGUCUUUGAAGUCGUUUACGCAGUCGUCCGAGUUAGCUCGACGUAUGCUGGCGUUGGAAAGGGCUACUCCCAAAACGCCCACAGAAAACCAGAUUCUGUGAUCUUCCAGAUCAUGUCGUAUAGCACAGAGCUUCGCUUUUGUAGGUUUUCGCAGGAUAAGAGAUCAUUUCGUUGGUUUCACAGGCACACUGGAGCGGCUGCGGAGAUGGCGUCCGCCCACGUUUAGCUGUCUUAGCUGCAAAUCCAACUCACUUAAUGUUGUGGUCCCUUUUUACAGAUUUUAAAGAUGCAGUCUAUGAGCUGUUGGGAAUGAGGCUGUGAGACGUGUUUCACGCGAUUUCUCCCCAGGAAUUUGGUUUGAGUAAUGCACAGACCGGGAGAUGUGUGUGGCGUUAAUAGGAGCGGGCUGGUGAGGGACAGCGCGACUGCCUAAGCCCCUCUGCUUUGUUCCCACAUUGCAAGGUUAACGAUUUUCCGUCCUGGGUGGCUGAAUUAGAAUUCAGCUCCCGUCCUCGGCACUGAGACGCUGUCUGCUGCCUUCCCAGCAGCCCCGGCGCACAGUGACAGGGAGAUGGAUGAUAUCUGCAGCAUGGGCCGCUCGGCUCGGGAGGAGGGGGAGAGGGUGCAUUGAGUGCACUCUCUCUCUCUCUCUCUCUCUCUCUCUCUUACACACACACUUUUACACACACAUACACACACACCCCCAAGUUGUGCACACAACCAGACAGUCACAUAUAUGACAGCACAUACACAUGCACACUGUCAUGCACACAUGAAAGCACACACACACACACACACACACACACACACACACACACACACACACAGAUGCAAGGACACAAAGCAUAACGGACAGUCAUGCAUUUUGAUGUAGAUGCAUGUGCACACAUGACAGUGUGGACACACACACACACACACACAAAUGAUAUACAUGACACAUUUGUAUGCAGAUAUACAUCUGAGGCAGGUGCACACAUACACACACACACACACACACAAGUUGGGACAUGCAAACAAUUAAGCACACACUGAGCAAUACAGUGCAGUACAGACUGUAACACACUCACACUAUUAUAAUAUACAAUUAUGCACACAAAAAACAAACACACACACACGUUGUGACAUAAAUACAAUUAUGCACACACAGAGUACUACAGUCCCAUAUACAUUGUGUAUCAACACACACACACACACACGUAGUGUAACUUUAAAAUCCAUUUACGUGCCUUUAUUUAAAGGUACACCAUAUCAACAUUUCUAGGUGAAAGAUACAAACUAUUAGCGUCACCACACCACCAACAUACAGGAAAGGUACGGUUCGGUAUCCCGAAUUUUCUUGCAGGGUGGCUAGUUCUCUCAAUAUCGUGCUGCUUGGCUACCUAGCAUUAGCAAGUAACAUAACGAGGUUCAAAGUUCAGAAGGUUCAGAAUUUCAAACGACACGGUGAAAAUGACGGGCUUUAUUGUGUGAUGUUUGGAUGUGAAGUUGAUGGACACCAGGACAUGUAGUGACACAACACGCUCAAAAUAACGAACAAUACAUCAACACAUUAGGAGAGACAGAAAAGGAUUAUUUCCAUUAUACUUUAUUGAUCAUUUUGAAAUUUCAAAGACACGUUGAAAUAUGUAUAAAUUAUUAUUUUAUUAUUUUUCUAUUUCAUAUUUAUUAGCUUUACAGUAUAAGCACAUUAUAUAUAUAUAUGGCAUUGAAUUAAAGGACCCACAGAAUAAGUUAUACUUAUUAAGUUUGUGUUAUUAUGGAAGUUAUAGGCCUCUCUGGGUGUGUGUGUGUGUGUGUGUGUGUAUGUUUCUACACAUUGUAUAUAGGACUGUAGUACUCUGUGUGUGCAUAAUUGUAUGCAUGUCCUAACAUGUGUGUGUGUGUGGGCAUGCAUUUAUAUCUUGGUCCCCACAAGGGUAAGAAUAUCCGGCAGGUUUGACCUUGCGGGGACAUUUGGCUGGUCCUCAUUGGACGGUCCUCACAAGGACACUAAGACAAAUGUGAACAGUGUAUAUAUGUGUAUAUAUAUAUAUAUAUAUAUAUGUAUGUAUGUAUGUAUGUAUGUAUGUAUGUGUGUGUGUGUGUGUGUGUGUGUGUGUGUGUCUGUGAGUCUUCUGUAUAUGCAGAACUUACCAGCUGUGCUUUCCUUACUGCACACCCUACCACGUGACUUACACACACACACACACACACACACUGCCGCAAGGGUAGCGCUACAUGACUUAUGCAUGGCCGACGUGGAAAAGCCUUUAGGUCGACCAGGAUGACUUCUGGGGAAAGUCACAGACUUCAGUUAGGAGAACGCGUCGCUUUACAUCAGGCGAUAACAUCAGCACGUAAGGUGUACCCAAACCUGUAAAAUAAAUAAACAAACAAACUAAUCAGUAGAUAAAAAGAUGGAUAGAUCAAAUCAAAUCAAGUGACUUUUACUGUCGUUUCAGCCAUCUACAGCUGGUACAGUACGCCAUGAAACAAAACAACGCUCCUCCAGGACCACGGUGAUACAUACAGCAACACAAUAACCACCUGAGACGACACAGAACUAAAUAAGACCUACACGUUUCUACAUAAAGUGUGCAGACAACAACGACUUAUAGAUAGAUAAUAGCCAGCAUCAUCACUGUUAUUAUGUGACGACAUUAUACUAUUUUAAUACGUUAUUAUCGUACUACAUAAUAAAUCUGAUUAAGCUGGACAUAAAAAAACAAAACAAAACCAGAUGCAUACGCAUUACUAUCCAUAAUUAUUAAUGAAGCGAUUUAUUGUUAGGCCCCACCAAAAUCUAACUCUAAUCUCAACCACGGGGACCAGCAAGAUGUCCCAACAAGGUCAAACCUGUGAGAUAUUCCUAUUCUCGUUUAUACGCACACACCACCGGUCAAAAGUUUGCGGACGCUCGACGGAAACGUUUCUCGUGGUCUUAAAAACCUUUUGAUCUGAAGGUGUGUGAUUAAACGUGUGAAAUCGGUGUCGUGGACAACAAAUAUAAUCAUGCAAAAACGUAUUCGUUUCUUCCAUUAGAAAACUAACGUUUCAUUUACGAAUAAAUGUUUGUUUACACGGACGACUCGGAGCGAAACGUUCCGAAAAGCAGCCGGUAAGAGUCCGGCGUCGGCGUGAACUCCUUUAAUACGGUUUAAAAAUCAUCUCGGGGAAAUUCCUCAAGAAAUCGGUCGAGAAAACGGCAAGAACGCAUUUCUGGAAGUUCUAGAAAUUCAGAAAGCGUGUCUAUUUUGAAGAUGCUAAAACACUCAAUUGUUUCGUUUUAUUUUGGAUUUUUUUAACACAACAUAAUUCCCAUAGUUCCACUUGUGCUCCUCCAGAGUUUUGAUGACUUUAUUAUUAUUCGACAAUGUGGAGAAAAAAUUUAAAUAAAGAAUGAGUGUGUGUAAACUUUUGACCAUAGUGUGUAUAUACUGAAUUAAAAACGUAUAAAUUUUUAAAUACAUGCACACACACUAAUUUUAUUUUUUUUUUUUACCUGCAUGCUGCACAAGGUGACUUCUUAACUUUCUAUUCCUGAAAAAAAAGAUGAACAGGACGUGAGUUAAUGAGACAGUAACAUGAAAAGGCAGAUCUCUCUCUCUCUCUCUCUGUGUGUGUGUGUGUUUUUUCUCUCAGAGUUCACUUGAGGAUGCAGGAAAGCAGAUGUACGAGUUUUUCCCUGCCAAAACUCUCUGUGAGCUCUAAUACAAAGGAAGACCGCAAGCUGAGUAGUGUAGGUACUUGUGUAUGUGUGUGUGCGCGCGCGUCACACUCUCUUUCCCCUCACAGAACAACUUCGCUAAAGUUCCCACGUUCAGCUGCCAAUCACACGCCGGUCACACUCGAUUUACACAACCACAAACACAGGUUUGCUCAAGGGAAGGUUUCAGCAAUAUAAUCAGUGUGUGUGUGUGUAUGAGUGAGUGUCCACAGCAGAAAGUUAAGGCUGGUACACCUUCGGCGCAUGUUGCCAAUGGCUGGUGAGUUAAAAGUGGCGCCAGCUGUAGGUCGUAUUGAAGCUGUGGCCUCUGGAAAGACCGAGCUAUGAGACACAGCCUCAUUAUCCUCUACAACGAGAGAGAAAGAGAGAGAGAGAGAGAGAGAGAGAGAGAGAGAGACAGUCGCGGUUCAAUAACUCCGACCAGAUAGCACGUUUCCCUGGCAACACCUCCGAAGCAGCUCUGCAGAGAUCCCAGAGAGAGAGAGAGAGAGAGAGAAAGAGAGAGACAGAAAGGGGGAGGGCGAACAAGGGGAAGGAAGGAAGGAAGGAAGGAAGGAAGGAGGAGACCUAGACAGCGUUGGGGUGGGAGGCAGUUCUGGGUGACACUUGUGCUCAGUACAAACAUUAAAGACUGUUAACACACACAAACAGGAGUCCAGCGGAGAACGUACACACCCAUACAUACUUUUUUUUCUUAACCAGGUAAUGUGUGUGUACAGACUUCUAAUGAUGAGUGUAUUACAUACGCUCCAUAUUUCCAUCCUUUAUGAGCCAACAGCAGAACCGUGAGACUUUGGGAAUAAAAAUGUCCCGCAUAGCGUUUGAAGCUAAUUUGAUUAGCGCUAAUAAAAUUCAAAGACCGAUGUUACAUUAUGUAUGUGUAAAGGAUACACACGAAUGGUCCAUUCUUGUGGCAUUCACGACUUCCGAAGUUGACUUGGGAAAUUUCCACUGUCACUCUGCCUUUAUACUGUGCAUAUAAGUGCAAGCUCGCUAAAUCAUUAGCGUCAGCCAUUAGAUACAACAAUGUAACACUUAGUAGUACCAGUGAAGGAGGCGUGUCCUCUUUGUCUGUAAGUACAGUGAAGGAGGCGUGUCCUCUGUGUCUAUAAGUACAGUGAAGGAGGCGUGUCCUCUGUGUCUAUAAGUACAGUGAAGGAGGUGUGUCCUCUGUGUCUAUAAGUACAGUGAAGGAGGCGUGUCCUCUUUGUCUGUAAGUACAGUGAAGGAGGCGUGUCCUCUUUGUCUGUAAGUACAGUGAAGGAGGUGUGUCCUCUGUGUCUAUAAGUACAGUGAAGGAGGCGUGUCCUCUUUGUAAGUACAGUGAAGGAGGUGUGUCCUCUUUGUAAGUACAGUGAAGGAGGUGUGUCCUCUUUGUCUGUAAAUACAGUGAAGGAGGCGUUUCCUCUUUGUCUGUAAGUACAGUGAAGGAGGCGUGUCCUGUGUCUAUAAGCACAGUGAAGGAGGCGUGCCCUCUUUGUAAGUACAGUGAAUGAGGCGUGUCCUCUUUGUCUGUAAGUACAGUGAAGGAGGCGUGUCCUCUGUGUCUAUAAGUACAGUGAAGGAGGCGUGUCCUCUGUGCUGGUUAGUCUCUGCGAAAGAGGCGUGGUCUCUGCGUCUAUCAGUACUAGCGAAGGAGGCGUGUCCUUGAACUUGAACUUACAGAAUACUGUAUCGUAUAUACAGCAGGCAGAUUUAAAAGUGUUUUUCACACUUCGGAUUGUGACCACAUCACACACUGAACACUAAAGAACACUAACUCCCAACGCUAUCGGCAACGCCCACUGCAGAGCUUCCGUAAAUGAAUCCCAGCGUUUCAGCGUAAGCCCAGCAUGCAUUUAAUGGUUGAGUGACUAUAACGGAGACUGCGACGACAAAAAUCUGUGAACAUGGAGCGAAUGUUUGACUUUGGAUUGGGACGGAGUCUAAUUCUGAUUAGAAUACGCAGGUGACUGUCUGGCCUCCCACUGCAGUGUCUGGAAACUCAGACAUAAGACUCCCCACCCGCUCCCCCCUCCUGCGUGUGC
ensembl:lncRNA